UACAGAAGGGGCGAGUGUUAUUCAACAUGACUGGGUGUAAAACGCAUGAAGAUGGUUUAAAAAAGUUAAGUGUGAAAGGUUAUAUUAAGCAUAUAGAAAGGCAUUUAAUACUAUUAAACUAGAGUAUGGGAGGGGAUAGCGGAAUUGCUUAGGUAAUGAUGAAAUAUUAAGAUCUAAGUAAGAACACCAGAGGCGAAAGCGGCUAUCUGGAACAAUACUGACAUUAUAGUGCGAAAGCGUGGGGAGCAAACAGG
rnacentral:rRNA from 1 species